rnacentral:rRNA from 1 species
AACCUCCGCAAUGUGAGAAAUCGCGACGGGGGGAUCCCAAGUGCCAUUCUUAACGGGAUGGCUUUUCAUUAGUGUAAAGAGCUUUUGGAAUAAGGGCUGGGCAAGACCGGUGCCAGCCGCCGCGGUAACACCGGCAGCUCUAGUGGUAGCAGUUUUUAUUGGGUCUAAAGCGUCCGUAGCCGGUUUAAUAAGUCUCUGGUGAAAUCCUGUAGCUUAACUGUGGGAAUUGCUGGAGAUACUAUUAGACUUGAGACCGGGAGAGGUUAGAGGUACUCCCAGGGUAGAGGUGAAAUUCUGUAAUCCUGGGAGGACCGCCUGUUGCGAAGGCGUCUAACUGGAACGGUUCUGACGGCGAGGGACGAAAGUUAGGGGCGCGAACCGGAUUAGAUACCCGGGUAGUCCUAACUGUAACGAUGCGGACUUGGUGUUGGGGUGGCUUUGAGCUGCUCCAGUGCCGAAGGGAAGCUGUUAAGUCCGCCGCCUGGGAAGUACGGUCGCAAGACUGAAACUUAAAGGAAGU